rnacentral:tRNA from 1 species
UGCGGGGGUGGCAGAGCCUGGUCAAAUGCGCAAGGUUGAGGGCCUUGUGACUUAGGUCUACAAGGGUUCAAAUCCCUUCUCCCGCAU